rnacentral:rRNA from 1 species
UACGGAGGGUGCGAGCGUUAAUCGGAAUAACUGGGCGUAAAGGGCACGCAGGCGGCUAUUUAAGUGAGGUGUGAAAUCCCCGGGCUUAACCUGGGAAUUGCAUUUCAGACUGGGUAGCUAGAGUACUUUAGGGAGGGGUAGAAUUCCACGUGUAGCGGUGAAAUGCGUAGAGAUGUGGAGGAAUACCGAAGGCGAAGGCAGCCCCUUGGGAAUGUACUGACGCUCAUGUGCGAAAGCGUGGGGAGCAAACAGGAUUAGAUACCCUGGUAGUCCACGCUGUAAACGCUGUCGAUUUGGGGAUUGGGCUUUAAGCUUGGUGCCCGUAGCUAACGUGAUAAAUCGACCGCCUGGGGAGUACGGCCGCAAGGUUAAAACUCAAAUGAAUUGACGGGGGCCCGCACAAGCGGUGGAGCAUGUGGUUUAAUUCGAUGCAACGCGAAGAACCUCACCUACUCUUGACAUCCAUGGAAUCUUGUAGAGAUACGGGAGUGCCUUCGGGAACCAUGAGACAGGUGCUGCAUGGCUGUCGUCAGCUCGUGUUGUUUG